rnacentral:tRNA from 1 species
ACCUUCGUGGUGUAGUGGUCAGCACGCUCGGCGCGUAUUCGAGAGGUCCGUGGUUCGAGUCCCGGCGAGAGCA